rnacentral:rRNA from 1 species
GAUGAACGCUGGCGGCGUGCCUAAUACAUGCAAGUCGAGCGAACACACCAGGAGCAUGCUCCUCUGACGUUAGCGGCGGACGGGUGAGUAACACGUGGACAACCUAACUAUAAGACAGGGAUAACUACGGGAAACAGGAGCUACUACCGGAUAAUAUAUUGAACGGCAUGGUUCAAUAGUGAAAGACGGGUUUGCUGUCUCAUAUCGAUCGAACCGCGCCGCAUUAGCUUGUUGGUAAGGGAACGGCAUACCAAGGGAAAGAUGCGUAGCCGACCUGAGAGGGUGAUUGGCCACACGGGAACUGAGACACAGCCCAGACUCUUACGGGAGGAAGCAGUAGGGAAUCUUCCGCGAAGGGGGAAAGCCUGACGGAGCAACGCCGCGUGAGGGAUGAAGGUCUUCGGAUCGUAAAGCGCUGAUAUUAGGAGAGAAGAAAUGUGUAAGUAACUAUGAUCGUCUUGACGGUACCGAAACAGAAAGCCCCGGCUAACUACGUG